rnacentral:tRNA from 1 species
UUAAAUAGCUUAAGUAUAAAGAGUUUAAUAUUGAAAAUAUUAAGGUGAUUAAAAAAAUCUUUAAAUA